rnacentral:rRNA from 1 species
UACGAAGGGGGCUAGCGUUGUUCGGAAUUACUGGGCGUAAAGCGCGCGUAGGCGGAUCGCUAAGUCAGGGGUGAAAUCCCAGGGCUCAACCCUGGAACUGCCUCUGAUACUGACGAUCUGGAGAUCGGGAGAGGUUGGUGGAAUUCCGAGUGUAGAGGUGAAAUUCGUAGAUAUUCGGAGGAACACCAGAAGCGAAGGCGGCCAACUGGCCCGAUACUGACGCUGAGGCGCGAAAGCGUGGGGAGCAAACAGG